rnacentral:sRNA from 1 species
UCUGGUGGGCAGAGGCGGCUACCGGCCUAGUGACCUCUGUGUUUCUGCCCCGACAGGCAGUGGGAAGACACUGGCCUUUGUCAUCCCUGUGGUGCAGGCCCUGCUGUCAAGAGUGGUCUGCCACAUCCGUGCCCUGGUCGUGCUGCCCACCAAGGAGCUGGCCCAGCAGGUCAGCAAAGUUUUCAACAUCUACACAGAUGCCACACCUCUGAGAGUCUCUCUGGUUACGGGACAGAAGUCUCUGGCCAAGGAGCAGGAGAGCCUCGUCCAGAAAACGUAGGUUGUGUCAGGGUGCGGGUCUUUCAGGGGGUCCCUGCUCAGCCCUGCAGGUGGCCUGAGGCACCGUGGGAGCAGAGGAGGGGCCACCAUCUUUAACUGCCUGUUCCCAUGAAGAGGAGGAGCUCCCACCCGCCCCCUUCCCAUGUAGGGUGGAGUCGGGGCUGUGGGGUGAGGCAGCGUCUUGCUGUCCGGAAGCCCCUGAGAAAGCUUCCUUCUCUUGAGCCGCUCUUUGGUCUGUAGAGCUGAUGGGUACCGCUGCUUGGCUGACAUCGUGGUAGCCACCCCCGGCCGCCUGGUGGACCACAUCGACCAGACCCCAGGAUUCAGCCUCCAGCAGCUCCGCUUCCUGGUAGGUCCCCGCCCCAGGGGCCUGGGCUUUGAGCUCAGGGCCGCGCCACCCAGCCCCGGGCUCCCUGUGUCCUGCAGGUCAUCGACGAGGCUGACCGGAUGAUUGACAGCAUGCAUCAGUCCUGGCUGCCGCGGGUGGUGGCGGCCGCCUUCCAGAGCGAGGACCCCGCGGACCCCUGUGCCCUGUUCCAGCGAAGACAGGCCCAGGCUGUGACAGCUGCCAGCACCUGCUGUCCCCA